rnacentral:rRNA from 1 species
CGCCUCUUGAUACAAAUAUAAGAGGUCCCGCCUGCCCUGUGACCAAGUUUAACGGCCGCGGUAUUUUAACCGUGCAAAGGUAGCAUAAUAAAUUGUUCUUUAAAUAAGGACCAGUAUGAAUGGCUCCACGAGGGCUCAGCUGUCUCCCCUCUCUAAUCAAUGAAACUGAUCCCCUCGUGAAGAAGCGAGGAUUAAUAUAUAAGACGAGAAGACCCCAUGGAGCUUUAAACUCAUUUCCAAUUACCCAUUACCACACCAAAAGAAUUUAAGUAAAUAUGUUCUAAAUAGUUUUCGGCUGGGGCAACCCCGGAGUAAAAUAAAACCUCCAGAAUGAACAGAGUAAUAUCCUAAUACAAGAACUACAGUUCAAAUAAUCAAAAAAUUGACAUAAUGAUCCAAAUUAUUGAUCAAUGAAAUAAGUUACCCUGGGGAUAACAGCGCAAUCCAUUUCAAGAGUCCCUAUCGACAAAUGGGUUUACGACCUCGAUGUUGGAUCGGGGUAUCCUGGUGGCGCAGCCGCUUCCUAAGGUUCGUUUGUUCAACGAUUAACAACCCC